ensembl:ncRNA B0414.11 ncRNA
GAUGAUGGGUGUUUCGCGGUUGUUUUGAGGGAAAGACACACGCAGAUUCAGAUAAGAGUGAAUCCUUAGGAUAGGAAGAAGAAACGAACGGAGAGUACCCACCAGGAAGAUUAGGAUCUACAGAAGGAGAAGCAGCAGCUGAGUGAGGG